rnacentral:rRNA from 1 species
UACAGGGGGUGCUAGCGUUGUUCGGAAUUACUGGGCGUAAAGGGCGCGUAGGCGGCUCAACAAGUCAGAUGUGAAAUCCCGGGGCUUAACUCCGGACGUGCAUUUGAAACUGUUAGGCUAGAGUGCAGUAGAGGAUGGUGGAAUUCCCAGUGUAGAGGUGAAAUUCGUAGAUAUUGGGAGGAACACCGGUGGCGAAGGCGGCCCCCUGGACCGGUACUGACGCUGAGGCGCGAAAGCGUGGGUAGCAAACGGG